rnacentral:rRNA from 1 species
CAAGGUUUCCGUAGGUGAACCUGCGGAAGGAUCAUUACAGUAUUCUUUUUGCCAGCGCUUAAUUGCGCGGCGAAAAAACCUUACACACAGUGUUUUUUGUUAUUACAAGAACUCUUGCUUUGGUCUGGACUAGAAAUAGUUUGGGCCAGAGGUUUACUAAACUAAACUUCAAUAUUUAUAUUGAAUUGUUAUUUAUUUUAAUUGUCAAUUUGUUGAUUAAAUUCAAAAAAUCUUCAAAACUUUCAACAACGGAUCUCUUGGUUCUCGCAUCGAUGAAGAACGCAGCGAAAUGCGAUAAGUAAUAUGAAUUGCAGAUUUUCGUGAAUCAUCGAAUCUUUGAACGCACAUUGCGCCCUUUGGUAUUCCAAAGGGCAUGCCUGUUUGAGCGUCAUUUCUCUCUCAAACCUUCGGGUUUGGUAUUGAGUGAUACUCUUAGUCGAACUAGGCGUUUGCUUGAAAUGUAUUGGCAUGAGUGGUACUGGAUAGUGCUAUAUGACUUUCAAUGUAUUAGGUUUAUCCAACUCGUUGAAUAGUUUAAUGGUAUAUUUCUCGGUAUUCUAGGCUCGGCCUUACAAUAUAACAAACAAGUUUGACCUCAAAUCAGGUAGGACUACCCGCUGAACUUAA